rnacentral:rRNA from 1 species
ACGCAGUAGGAUAGGCGAAGCGUACGAUUGGAUUGCACGUCUAAGCAGUAAGGCUGAGUAUUAGGCAAAUCCGGUACUCGUUAAGGCUGAGCUGUGAUGGGGAGAAGACAUUGUGUCUUCGAGUCGUUGAUUUCACACUGCCGAGAAAAGCCUCUAGAUAGAAAAUAGGUGCCCGUACCGCAAACCGACACAGGUAGUCAAGAUGAGAAUUCUAAGGUGAGCGAGCGAACUCUCGUUAAGGAACUCGGCAAAAUGACCCCGUAACUUCGGGAGAAGGGGUGCUCUUUAGGGUUAACGCCCAGAAGAGCCGCAGUGAAUAGGCCCAAGCGACUGUUUAUCAAAAACACAGGUCUCUGCUAAACCGUAAGGUGAUGUAUAGGGGCUGACGCCUGCCCGGUGCUGGAAGGUUAAGAGGAGUGGUUAGCUUCUGCGAAGCUACGAAUCGAAGCCCCAGUAAACGGCGGCCGUAACUAUAACGGUCCUAAGGUAGCGAAAUUCCUUGUCGGGUAAGUUCCGACCCGCACGAAAGGCGUAACGAUUUGGGCACUGUCUCAACGAGAGACUCGGUGAAAUCAUAGUACCUGUGAAGAUGCAGGUUACCCGCGACAGGACGGAAAGACCCCGUGGAGCUUUACUGUAGCCUGAUAUUGAAAUUCGGCACAGCUUGUACAGGAUAGGUAGGAGCCUUUGAAACGUGAGCGCUAGCUUACGUGGAGGCGCUGGUGGGAUACUACCCUAGCUGUGUU